UACUCUUGGACAUAUGACUUACUUUGGACAUAUGACUUAACUUCUGGACAUAAGACAGGUUGGACUUAUGACAUUUUGGAUUGGUAAAAUAGUGGACUAAUGUUACUAACUAACUUAGUUACUCACUAACUCUGACUUCUAAAAGACGUUAAAUUCACUAGAUUAGAAUUAUAACGAAAGUUCUGGAAUAAGGUUUUAACUAUUGCUUAAUUCGAAUCGUUAGACCGUUAUGGCCUUAGUACGUAGUAGUUGUUAGUGUUAUCAAGGACGUAACACUAAAGCUUUGUUUUAACGAUUUAGGUCCCAAUUUCAUAAGCGGCUCGUUCUAUUAAGUCAGCGAAAAUUCUCCGCUACAAGACUAGGUGAGCUGGUGCUGCUGCAUGAUAUCAAGCAUAAGGGGGCUAGUCUGUAGUUUGAAGUUAAACUUUUGGUUUAAGUAUUACUGAAUUUUAUAGAAUAUUGCUACAUGGUUUGAGUUUGAAUAAAGAGGGGUCAACUAUGAUUCCCGAGUUGUAUUUACAUUUUCUAUUCCGCUGCAAUUUGGUUUUGAGACAAUGAAUUUGAGUUACCGUAUUUCUAAUUA